AUCACAUCCCAUUCCGCCGCCUCCAGCCCUCCACUCAAUUUCCAGCCUCCCUCCACUCAAAUUCGUCAGAUCCCGACGGUCCCGAGACUCCGGAGUCCCGACCAAAGACUCCCGACCCGUCGCCGGUGUCAUAUUCGGACUAGUGAGCAGUGAGUGGUAAAGGUGAAGAGCAUAACUUAUUUUUAUUAAUCGGUCAGUUAUUUGCUCAGCCCUUCUCAUCCUCACGAUCGGGGUAUGGCGAUUCGGUAAUUAUGCACUCCUAUCUUUUUUUUCCUUGCGAGGAGAGGAUUCGGGCUCUCUACAAAAUCGAAUGGGGAGGGAGGACAAGAGGAAGGGGAGUAAUUUCUUCUUUGUCCUCUCUACAUUUGGAAACGAAAGAAGGGCAUCGCCGCUUCAACCCGCGAGAAAUAGAUCUAUGGGUUUUAGGUUUUAUUUCUGAUUCUGAUCCACGCCGGGCUCCUCUGUGAGCAAAGAGAGUCUGAUAGCUCAGACUGAAAAGGACAUGUUCAAGGCCUUGAAGGAGAUUAAGUCAGCAUUAAUCCAUCAAGUUUUUAUGGAAUUUGAUGUACGUGAUGUCAUAAAAACCGUCGCUGAAGGUAUUGAAAAAAAAUAAAAUUCCUCAUACUGAAGUAGUGCCCAUCCUAUGGGAUGCACUAAUGGAUACAAUUAUCUAAAGAGACGUCAGUGUGCGUCCGGAAUUACUUGAGUGUUAUGUAUCUAACAAGGUGUUUUUGUGGUCCGAACUUUUGCGUGCAUUUUGCAUAACUGAAGAGUGUGAACUUGAGCUGCUUAAGCAAGUCCAUAGACGAUCCAUCAAGGAGCAACGACUGCAAGGGCUGUUCAAGGAAGUUGUUGAUGUCCUAUAUGAAUUCGAUGUGCUUUCCCCCAGUACUAUUCAUCAAUGGUUCUAUCUCCACAUAAGCGCUGUUGACAGGGAAGAAGCUUUUGUGAAAGAUCUAAAGCCGGUAGUCGAUUCAAUGGAGAAAGAAAUGUUAGAAGCUGGAUUGACAAGGGCAUGAUCAGAAAAUGCUGAGUAAAGCGGAACGUAUUGUGUAUGUCAGAACUUAUCUUAUGCGUGUUGUGCCAGCUGUGUGGUUCAUGUAACGAGUAGAAUAACAUUCU